rnacentral:lncRNA from 1 species
AAAACAAGACUUGAUACCACAGGGACAGACAACAAGCUGCAAGCUACUGUGAAAAGAAAGGAAUGACCCAGAACAGGAAGGAAGGCUGCCCUCCAGAGCAUGCAUGAGAGACAUCUCCAGACCCCAGAUCCCGGUUCCAACCCAGUGGUAGAUGAGCAAAUGUCCAUUGCUUCAAUA